UUGAUAGGAUAAAUGAGAAUAAGUAUCUGUUCUUAAAAGCAGGGGAUGACACGGAUUUCUGGUGACACGGAUUCUCUUCAUCCACAGAGACGGGUUGAGAUGGACGUUGUUCUUCUGAUUGCCGUCCUUGCUCUGGUUGCUGGAGGGAACCCAGCCCUUGGUCUUGCUCCAUGUCAGCGGAGGGCUCACGACAACAAUGCGUACAAGAAGUUUGUUUCUAAACAUGUUCUGCCGGAGAAUUUUGCAACUAACUCAAUGACUGCAUGGGAAAAUUACCUGAGAGAGAGACGUCUCUGUGACAGACCGAGGCAGUCCUUUGUUAAGAAUGAAGACCGGGGAAGUUAUGUACAGAUCUGCAACGGCCAUGGGAAGCGUCAGAGUGGCAACCUGUGCACCAGCACUCGUCCAAUUUUCCUGUAUGAUCUCAGAGUGCAAAGGAGUGGUUGCAGAGUCACUAAAAUGAGGAAACGAAAUAGAUAUGUGACUGUUGCUUGUGACAAAGUUGACAACCGCUGCCGCCCUGUUCACUUUGACGGCAGCCAAGGCAGAAGGCCAAGAACAGGUGAAACCUGCAGAGCACGCCCUUCUCUCUAGCUUCCAGAGUUCUGCUAAGCAAUGCUUCUCUGUUAUAUCUCCAUACCAAGCUUAGGGUCAACAUUUUACCAGCUUUGCUUAAACAUUUGUCUUUAUUUUGUAAACUACUCUAGAGAUACCACAUCAUCAGUGAAAAGAAAAACCUUGGGUUUACGAUUUUUAAAAUACCACUCUUAGGAAUAUUUGUUGAUGCAUCACAAAUAAUUUCUUCUGUAAAUCAUGUGUGUUUUAAUUUGAGGUUUAGUACUUGAGAAGUCGGUUUUCUGUCAUUCGUGAUUGAAGUUCCCAUAUGUGUAGUGCAUCAGGUCACCAUGGCAA